rnacentral:rRNA from 5 species
UUUAAUUGAAGAGUUUGAUCAUGGCUCAGAUUGAACGCUGGCGGCAGGCCUAACACAUGCAAGUCGA